rnacentral:SRP_RNA from 1 species
GCCGGGCGUGGUGGUGCGCGCCUGUAGUCCCAGCUACUCGGAGGCUGAGGCAGGAGAAUGGCGUGAGCCCGGGAGGCGGAGCUUGCAGUGAGCACUCCAGCCUGGGCGACAAAGCGAGACUCUGUCUCAA